CUAUAGGGCACUGUGUAGCUCUAUGGGGCACUGUGUGUCUCUAUAGGGCGCUAUGGGGCACUGCGUGGCGCUAUGGGGCACUGUGUGUCUCUAUGGGGCGUUAUGGGGCGCUGUGUGUCUCUAUGGGGCGCUAUGGGGCACUCCGUGUCUCUGUAGGGCGCUAUGGGGCGCUGUGUGUCUCUAUAGGGCGCUAUGGGGCACUGUGUGUCUCUAUAGGGCUCUAUGGGGCGCUGCGUGUCUCUAUAGGGCGCUAUGGGGCUCUGUGUGUCUCUGUAGGGCGCUAUGGGGCACUGCGUGUCUCUAUAGGGCUCUAUGGGGC